rnacentral:tRNA from 1 species
GCCUGGUUGGCUCAGUCAGUUGAGCGUCUGACUGCAGCUCAGUUCAUGAACUCACAGUUCAUGAGUUUGAUCCCCAUGUCGGGCU